AAAAUACUAAAAUAAUGCAUUUAAAUUAAAUAUGGUUUGUCAAAUUCCUAAAACCUCAUCAAAACACCAAAUAAAUGGCCAUGAGAUUUAUCAUAGGUCAAACAAAGUCAAAGGAUCUUGGAGAAAAAAUUUCAGAAUUUUUAAGGACUUAAAAGUAUUUUUAAACAAUUAAAAACAAAUGAAAAAUCAAUUAAAUCAUGAAAAAUAUUAAUAACGAUCCAAAAAAUAAUUUUAAUUCAGAAUAUGAAAGAGGAAAAUAUUUGAAAUU
rnacentral:lncRNA from 1 species